AGCUUUUCAGUGGCAAGUUGGCUGCGGAACGAGCGCGAUGCGUCUGGCAAAACAAGUGAACUGGUGGCAAGGUUUGUUGGCUUCGCUCCUGGCGGCGGUUCACCUUCGCGGCGGCAGGGGAAAAUACUCUAUAAAAGGGCCCCGGUUUUUGGGUUUUUCUCUUCACGUCGCCGCUGUGACGUUAUACAGGUCGCCGUUGUGACGAGGAGGAAGUUUGCUGGGAAGCCGGCGGAGGAAAGAGGCUGGGCUGAAUUCGAAUUCCAGACGGACUGCAGAAGCUCCAGCCCGGCUUUAAAUUAAUUGCAUCCAGCCACGAGACGACAGCGACGGCAGUUUCGAGCUCAUAAAACGGAUUGCACUUAACGAUAAAAUUUCCCUUUCGCUCGAAACUCGUUUUUCGCUCACUUAAUCGGACGGUGUCCUAAUCCCUUCUUUAAAUGGUGUGAAUCACAGGGGGUAUGGGAAAAGAAGAGAUUUUAUACUUUUUGACGCAGAAUUCUAAGAGUGUUUAUUCACGAACAUGUAUUAAAAAAAAAGUGGAACACAUUUAUUUAGUUUUAACAGAUUUUAUUCACAGCUCCGAAUUGAAUAACUUGAAAUGUUAAUUUGCUUGUUUAGCUCUUUAAAUUUAUUGAUCUUUCUACAACUAUCUUUGAAUAUUUUUUAAUAAUAAUCAAGUUUGAUCUUAUCGUAUUUAAUGAUAGUUUUAAAUGGUUUUACUAAUAGCUGAAUGCUUGAAUGUGAAAAAACUGCUGAUAAAAAACACAUACUCAUAUUACAACUGAUGCUAACUCUAAUUUUCAUUUAAGCAAUUAAUUUAAUUACAUUAGUAUGAACCAUAAAUAUGUAUCAUAGUUUUGAAAAUUAUUUGUAGCUCUUUUGACCAUUACUUAUAUUUGUGAUUGAAUUAUUUUCUUUAAAACUUAAGAAACCUCUCUAGUUUUGUUCACUGCAGCCUAGAGCAAUGGAGUGGAAAGCUCCAGCUGCUGCAAAGCUGUACUCAAAAGUGGUUUCUUUCGCGACUUGCCAAAUAUUAUGCAAUUUCUGCAACUUUUAGUUGAGUCUUUUGACUGCCUUGCUAUAUUUUCGAGGGGGCCACAUGCAAAAGAGCUGCUAAUGCAACAGCUUAAUUAAUUACAAUUAGAGGCUGUGGCCGACCCAUAAAGAAAAUAUCUACGAAAUGGCAAAGGCAAAUGCUCCAUUUGGUUUUCACUGCCUUUGCUGUAAUUGCAUGAUCCACUUAAACAAAAACCACAAAAAGAAGCUGAAUCUGGCUCACUCGUCUCUGGCUUGAAUAAUUUGUGAAGAUUUUGGCCAAAACUAUCAAAAAUACACGCCCCAAAUGUGUCAAGGUCUUUUGUAAACUGGCAAAUGAGCAAAGAAAGAAACAAGCCACCUAAAAUCAAAUCAAAUGGAAACCGAAAGCUGGUCGAGCGAUUUGGGACUGGGCUCAAUUUUUUGUUUUUUGGUUAUAUCCAACUAUAAUUAUCGGGGGAAAACUUUUUGGCACACAAUGCACGGCAUUUGAGUCAGAUUUUUGCCAAGUUGAUUGGCCGCAUUGUGCAAUAUUUUUGUCUGUUCGACCACAUUUAAGUCAAUUAGCAGGCUGGCCAAAUUGCUGUUAAUGCCAUGAGCAAAUACGCUGAAAUAGUUGCUCUAAAACAAUGCAUAUGGCUUCUUGCAGUGCGGUUGUAAGGGGUGAAAGUAACCGAAAGGUAUUGACAAAAACUCAGACAUCGUUUUCCGGAAAAGAUCGCCACACAAAAGCCCAAAGAAUCGGCUGAGAUUUAUGUGACAGACCUUAUUCAGGACAAUCACUUUUGAGCCUACGUGAUAUGGCUGAUACUUAUUAAAAUUAAGCUCACAUAUUAUUACUCAAAAGUACGUUCUUAAGUUUGCCAGAGGUGGGAGGUUAAACUGAUGAAAGCAAAAGCCACUGACACUUGCACAGUCCGGAAAUAAAUCUUCAAUUGCCAGUACUUCUUAUGACAGGCGUGUGCGACUGUUGUUUUUAUUUAUUUUUAUUAUCAUUAAGAUGACCUGGUGAUUUUCUCUAAGUUCUACGACCUUUCAGGGCAAACGACUGUCUCCGCACUGAGUGGGAUAGAAAAUUAGCUAAAUAUACCUUAAUGGCUGACAUUAAAGUCCGACAUAGAAAAUGAAAAGGUUCCUAUAGAACAUACUUGCUAAUGUUCUACAAAAGAUAGUUUUGAGCAAACUAUAGCAGUAAUUUAGCUGUUCGACCUUUGAAGCCUAUUAGUAGAGAUUGAGGAGCUUAUGAGCGUAUUCUCAGAUUCAGAUUAUAAUCGUCUGAGUCUGACUGUGCAAUCAAAUGCCUAUUGAGCUUCCGUUUUAGAAUGUAAUUUAAUAAACAAAGUUGACGGAUUUAAAAAAAUUACACAAGGUAAACAAAAUUUUAAAAUGCUUCAAGAAGGAUGAUGGUAGUUCCUGGCGGAGUUAGAGCUCUAGAUCAUAUAAAAGAGUCCUAAAAGUUGUAUGAAUACUUUUUUAGGGUCUUUUAAUACGAUUUUGUGGGAACAGCCU